rnacentral:SRP_RNA from 1 species
CGACAUUACCAUUGACCUCAUCUACACCGCCGAGACGCACAACAUGCCCACCGGUGUGUGCCCCUUUGCAGGUGCCGAAACUGGCACCGGCGGC